rnacentral:rRNA from 1 species
AACGAACGCUGGCGGCAGGCCUAACACAUGCAAGUCGAACGCCCUAGCAAUAGGGAGUGGCGCACGGGUGCGUAACGCGUGGGAAUAUACCCUUCACUGCGGAAUAACGUUUGGAAACGAACGCUAAUACCGCAUAAUGACUCCGGUCCAAAGAUUUAUCGGUGAAGGAUUAGCCCGCGUUAGAUUAGCUAGUUGGUGAGGUAAUGGCUCACCAAGGCUACGAUCUAUAGCUGGUCUGAGAGGAUGAUCAGCCACACUGGGACUGAGACACGGCCCAGACUCCUACGGGAGGCAGCAGUGAGGAAUAUUGGACAAUGGGGGGCAACCCUGAUCCAGCCAUGCCGCGUGAGUGAAGAGGCC